rnacentral:lncRNA from 1 species
AUUAUUUUUUUUAAUUUUAUUUUAUUUUUAAACUUUACAAUAUUGUAUUAGUUUUGCCAAAUAUUGAAAUGAAUCCGCCACAGGUAUACCUGUGUUCCCCACCCUGAACCCUCCUCCCUCCUCCCUCCCCAUACCCUCCCUCUGGGUCAUCUUAUGAUCCCUCAUAAAGUUCCUUCUGGAACAAGAUUCCCUUUUCUCCUCAAGCCAGCCCCCAGUAGGUUCACCUUUACAGUUUCUGGAACUAGAACAAGAGGAUGAGUGAGAAGCAAGUAACCAGUUGGGAGCUGUGGAUUGGCAAAUUUCAAGAUGAAAAUGGAAGGCCAAUGGCCAGGCCAAAUCCAUUGUUUUCAGAAGCUCCCAAAGCUACUGAGUCCAGAAUGCAAGAAGCCAUGCAGUGUUAAGGAAAAUUACCUCUUCUUCAACUCUGGGGAGCAUUUGGUCACCUAGGCCCUAGGAUCAUAAGCAUCUGUUGUUCAGGCACCU